rnacentral:rRNA from 1 species
GACGAACGCUGGCGGCGUGCUUAACACAUGCAAGUCGAACGGAAGGGCCUCUCUCGGGGGGUACUCGAGUGGCGAACGGGUGAGUAACACGUGAGUAACCUGCCCUUGACGUUGGGAUAACUUCAGGAAACUGGGGCUAAUACCGGUAAGUAGCUCCUGCUGCAUGGUGGGGGUUGGAAAGUUCAGGCGGUUGGGGAUGGACUCGCGGCUUAUCAGCUUGUUGGUGGGGUAGUGGCUUACCAAGGCUUUGACGGGUAGCCGGCCUGAGAGGGUGAGCGGCCACACUGGGACUGAGAUACGGCCCAGACUCCUACGGGAGGAAGCAGUGGGGAAUCUUGAACAAUGGGUGGAAGCCUGAUGCAGCAACGCCGUGUGCGGGAUGACGGCCUUCGGGUUGUGAACCGCUUUCGCUCAUGACGAAGCUUUGUGUGACGGUAGUGGGUAAAGAAGCACCGGCUAACUACGUG